AUACGGAGGACGCGAGCGUUAUCCGGAUUCAUUGGGUUUAAAGGGUGCGCAGGCGGCCGUGCAAGUCAGCGGUGAAAGCCCGGGGCUCAACCCCGGAAGUGCCGUUGAUACUGCGUGGCUGGAAUGCGGUCGAGGCGGGCGGAACGUGGCGUGUAGCGGGGAAAUGCGUAGAUAAGCCAGAGAACGCCGAUGGCGGAGGCGGCUCGCCGGGCCUGGAUUGACGCUCGGGCACGAAAGCGUGGGGAUCGAACAGGAUUAGAUACCCUGGUAGUCCACGCCGUAAACGAUGGGCGCUCGUCGUCGGCGGCAGACAGUCGGCGGCCAAGCGAAAGCGAUAAGCGCCCCACCUGGGGAGUACGGUCGCAAGGCUGAAACUCAAAUGAAUUGGCGGGG
rnacentral:rRNA from 1 species